UAGACGAGGCAACCUAAAGUUUGCCCGCGCGGCACCAGCGCCGAAUGCUCCCCUAGCGGACCGAUGGAAGUUUCGAGGGUCGUCGCUGCGCGAGCGCGCGCCCGUGAUCUGUUCGGCGGGAGCGCUCGUGCUGGCUCGGGCGCGUUGUUUUUGCGAUGGCGAGUGCGACCUCAUCAGCAAGGAAAGGUGGCACGCAAUACUGCUGUAUUGUUGAUUGCCAUAACAGCCUCGAAAACACGAAAGGUCGAACGCCGCCCGUGAAAUUCUACAGAUUUCCGGGAAGUGGUACGAGAAGGUCAGACGACAAGCAUGGAUAAUUGCAGUGCGCCGAGUCAAUGCUGAUGACACUCCCUGGGAGCCAUCCAAAAGCAUGCGAAUUUACAAAAACAAGCAGGCUUUGCGAAGCAAAGACAUCGAUAACGCUUGCCAUUGUUCGCUGACAGCUCCGCGCAAAUCAGAACGAACACAAACGUGUAAUUUACCAAUGCUCCAGCCAAGAAAUUUAGCAGCAAAAGGGGGAAGCACAAAAUGAGAGCAGCCGUGUGCGCGCACUCAGCUACCGAGGAAACUAACGGCAAUCGUCACCGUCCCUCCACAUCUCUGCAAGUAUGCAUGACCGCUUUGUGCCUGCAUCAUAUAGAAAUAAAGUGGCUAAACUUCUGAA